rnacentral:rRNA from 1 species
GCCAAAUCUCUAGCCUCACCUCAAAAAAUUCACAUCUAUUUUACUUUUCAUACCUUAAAACAUUUUACCAGUUUAGUAAAGGCGAAAAAAAAAUUUUUAUGAGCAAUAACUAAAGUACCGUAAGGGAAAGAUGAAAUAAAAAUGAAACAACUCUCAAGCACAACAAAGUAGAGAUUACCCCUCGUACCUUUUGCAUCAUGGUUUAACUAGUCCAAUUAGGCAAAAAGAUUUUUAGUCUAACCUCCCGAACCUAGGCGAGCUACUCUAAGACAGCUUUUUGAGCCAACCCAUCUCUGUUGCAAAAGAGUGGGAAGAUCUUAUAGUAGUGGUGACAGACCAAACGAGCCUAGUGAUAGCUGGUUGCUUAGUAAAAGGAUUUUAGUCCAACUUAAAGUUAUUCUUAUAUUAUUAAAUUCUGACUUUAAAGUAAUUCAAAUAAGGUUCAGCCUAUUUGAAAAAGGAUACAACCUCCACCACUGGGUUCCCCAAUGUAAAUAAAAUAAAGUAGGCCUAAAAGCAGCCACCUUAAACAAAAGCGUCAUAGCUUUCCUUUAACAACACAGAAUUCCUCAAAUUUCCCCCAACCCUUCACUUCUAAAAAGCAACUCUAUAUCACUAUAGAAGAUAUUAUGUUAAAACUAGUAACAAGAAGCUAGCACUUCUCUUUAAUGUAUCCCUUUAUCAGGAAGGACACUCCACUGAUAAUUAACGUCUGUAAAACCAAAGUAAAAACACCUCAAGAAAAACCUACUCCUACUAACGUUAACCUAACACAAGAGCAUUCAAAGAAAGAUUAAAAGAUAAAGAAGGAACUCGGCAAACAUUAGCCUCGCCUGUUUACCAAAAACAUCGCCUCUCGAUUAAUUAUAAGAGGUCAAGCCUGCCCAGUGACACUGUUUAACGGCCGCGGUAUCCUAACCGUGCGAAGGUAGCGUAAUCACUUGUCCUUUAAAUGAGGACUAGUAUGAAUGGCCCCACGAAAGCUAUGCUGUCUCCUUUAUCUAAUCAAUGAAACUAAUCUCCCCGUGAAGAAACGGGGAUGCAUCUAUAAGACGAGAAGACCCUAUGGAGCUUUAAACAUUAAGGCACUUGUAACACUAAAGUAAAAUUUCUGAAAACUUUCAUUUAACUUAUCAUUCUGCCUAAAGUUUUAGGUUGGGGCGACCACGGAGAAAAAAUCAACCUCCACGUAGAAAGAAACUUCUUUUCUAAGCAGAAAGCCACAUCUUUACGCAUCAACAUUUUGACCUCUUUUGACCCAAUUUUUUGAUCAACGAACCAAGUUACCCUAGGGAUAACAGCGCAAUCCACUUUAAGAGCUCUUAUCGACAAGUGGGUUUACGACCUCGAUGUUGGAUCAGGGUAUCCUAGUGGUGCAGCCGCUACUAAUGGUUCGUUUGUUCAACGAUUAAAACCCUACGUGAUCUGAGUUCAGACCGGAGUAAUCCAGGUCAGUUUCUAUCUAUAAAGAGCUUUUUCUAGUACGAAAGGACCGAAAAAACAUGGCCAAUGCUCCAAGUAAGCCAUACUCCUAAACUUAUGUGAAAAACUUAAUAACCAAGAAUCUUUUAUUUAGUUUUAGACCAAAAUCCC